UUCGCUGACGAGUGGCGCACGGGUGCGUAACGCGUAUACAAUCUGCCUUUUACAGGGGGAUAGCCUUUAGAAAUGAAGAUUAAUACCCCAUAGUAUAUAGAGAUGGCAUCAUUUUUAUAUUAAAGUUUCGACGGUAAAAGAUGAGUAUGCGUUCUAUUAGCUAGUAGGUGUGGUAACGGCACACCUAGGCAACGAUAGAUAGGGGCCCUGAGAGGGGGAUCCCCCACACUGGUACUGAGACACGGACCAGACUCCUACGGGAGGCAGCAGUGAGGAAUAUUGGACAAUGGUCGGAAGACUGAUCCAGCCAUGCCGCGUGCAGGAAGACUGCCCUAUGGGUUGUAAACUGCUUUUAUACGGGAAGAAACCCCCCUACGUGUAGGGGGCUGACGGUACCGUAAGAAUAAGCAUCGGCUAACUCCGUGCCAGCAGCCGCGGUAAUACGGAGGAUGCAAGCGUUAUCCGGAAUCAUUGGGCUUAAAGGGUCCGUAGGUGGAUUAAUAAGUCAGAGGUGAAAGCCUGCAGCUUAACUGUAGAAUUGCCUUUGAAACUGUUAAUCUUGAAUUAUUGUGAAGUAGUUAGAAUAUGUAGUGUAGCGGUGAAAUGCAUAGAUAUUACAUAGAAUACCGAUUGCGAAGGCAGAUUACUAACAAUAUAUUGACACUGAUGGACGAAAGCGUGGGGAGCGAACAGGAUUAGAUACCCUGGUAGUCCACGCCGUAAACGAUGGUCACUAGCUGUUCGGACUUCGGUCUGAGUGGCUAAGCGAAAGUGAUAAGUGACCCACCUGGGGAGUACGUUCGCAAGAAUGAAACUCAAAGGAAUUGACGGGGGCCCGCACAAGCGGUGGAGCAUGUGGUUUAAU
rnacentral:rRNA from 1 species